AUUGAACGCUGGCGGCAUGCUUUACACAUGCAAGUCGAACGGCAGCACGGACUUCGGUCUGGUGGCGAGUGGCGAACGGGUGAGUAAUACAUCGGAACGUGCCCAGUUGUGGGGGAUAACUACUCGAAAGAGUAGCUAAUACCGCAUGAGAACUGAGGUUGAAAGAAGGGGAUCGUAAGACCUUGCGCAACUGGAGCGGCCGAUGGCAGAUUAGGUAGUUGGUGGGAUAAAAGCUUACCAAGCCGACGAUCUGUAGCUGGUCUGAGAGGACGACCAGCCACACUGGGACUGAGACACGGCCCAGACUCCUACGGGAGGCAGCAGUGGGGAAUUUUGGACAAUGGGCGAAAGCCUGAUCCAGCAAUGCCGCGUGCAGGAUGAAGGCCUUCGGGUUGUAAACUGCUUUUGUACGGAACGAAAAGCUUUGGGCUAAUACCCUGGAGUCAUGACGGUACCGUAAGAAUAAGCACCGGCUAACUACGUGCCAGCCGCCGCGGUAAGAC
rnacentral:rRNA from 1 species